CAUCCUCUGCCGUGCUCGUGACGAACUCUGCAAGCGUCUUGGUCCGAUGAACCCUCGAGCCGGGAGCCGAUAGACGGGCGCCUAGGUGUAUCCCUGCCGAGGCGGGGACGACCGAACCGUCCGGUGUGGCACCCACCUGGCAAUGGGGACCAGACCUCACAGCUCGCACGGCAUUGAGGCGGAGGAUUU
rnacentral:other from 1 species